CACGUAGGGCGCGAGCGUUGUCCGGAAUUAUUGGGCGUAAAGAGCUCGUAGGCGGCCUGUUGCGUCCGCUGUGAAAGCCCGGGGCUUAACCCCGGGUCGGCAGUGGAUACGGGCAGGCUAGAGGUAGGUAGGGGAGAAUGGAAUUCCCGGUGUAGCGGUGAAAUGCGCAGAUAUCGGGAGGAACACCGGUGGCGAAGGCGGGUUGCUGGGCUGACACUGACGCUGAUGCGCGAAAGCCAGGGGAGCGAACGGG
rnacentral:rRNA from 1 species